GUAAUACUCCCUCCGUCCGAAAAUACUUGUCAUCAAAAUGAAUAAAAGGGGAUGUAUCUAGACGUAUAUUAGUUCUAGAUACAUCCCUUUUUAUUUAUUUUGAUGACAAGUAUUUUCAGACGGAGGGAGUACAAU
rnacentral:pre_miRNA from 1 species